AACAAGUAGUAGGGGGACUCCCUCGCGAAACGCUGAUCGCCGAAUGCGCCUCGGCGAAAUUCAGAGCUGAAAAAGCCGCGGCUGAAAUAACGUGUCGGGUCGAACGAGGCCCGAGUUUCUCGUUUGCGAGUGUGUAUACGAUCGGUCGUUGCGGCGAGCCGCGACGCACCGUGGCCAGUGUCAUCGUGUAAUAAGCUGCGGGUAUCGCGUUAAUGCCAUUGUUGUGAUAGCGGUACCGCGGCGGUGGUGUUGUGAGCGGGCGGGGGAAGACAAGCGAGCAGGCAAGCAGGCAUAGGCUAGGGAAAACGGAAGAGAGGGUGGGGGAGUGAAGAGGUGACGCGAGGUAGCGAGACUGUGUGCGAGAGCGCAGAUACCCGCGCGCGCAGCCCAUACGUGUGGCACAAUGGCAACCUUGACACUUGGUGAUCGUUUUUGGCGGCUCCGCGCCGCGGAGAUCGCGCGUCCGGCGGCAUCGCGUCGUGAGUGAAAGCGGAGGGCACGCCUUGAGCAGCAGCAGCGGCAAACACAAGAGGAGGAGAAAAAAAGAAGACGGAGGAGGUGGAGGUGGUGGACGGACGGUAAAUGGUGCCGAAAGACGCGGGAGCGAUGCGUACGUAGACGUCGACAUCGGGACACGACGCAGGAGUCACGCAUCCGUUACAUCCGUGGAGUCGGCGUGGUCACGUGUACGCAUCGUGUGAAGACUUUGUUGACGUCGGAGGCUGUGAGGGAUGCGAUUUCCCGAGUUCGCGAGUGAUAGCCGUUGCAGCGCGACGGCUGUUGUGACCGCGUAGUCCCUCGCAUGUACGCACGUGGACAAUCUAUAAUAACGCAGUGCAUAGUCGUGCGCGCGUGAACUGACGGCUGGAAAUGCCGGUGUAAAGUGAAGAAACACAGACGCUACGCUCGAAACGAUCCGUAAUUCUUGCAUCUUGUAAUCCAACUUUCAUCCCGAAGAAACACGCAAAACAAGGCAAAAUGGCACAAAUGGAGCAGCAAUUACCGCUUCCAAUGCCAGAUUUAAGCACCCUUCGUAUAACUACAGCCGUUUCCAUGCUUGGCAAAGCGUAUGGAUGUGGCCAAUGUAAUGGUAAGUUCAAUUCCAAGAAUUGAAACAAAAAAACAAGGAAUGUAAGAAAUUUUAUAACGGAUCGCAAGGAACGUUUAUCUAUGCGCAUUUCUCUUUGAUAUUUCUGAUUAGUGAUAAAAAAAUAAAUACAUAGAUGGUCAUCUUCUUUAACUUGAAACAUUUUUAUAUCUGUGCAAAAUAUUCAGGAUAAUUAUUUAAAACUAUGUAAUAAUCCAAUUUAAUUAAUCAUCUUAAAACAUCUUAAUCGCUAUAUUAACUUUUCGUCUCAUCUACAUAAUUAUCGAUUGAAAACCGAAACGAAUGAUAGGAUUAGAUAAGGGAGAAUUCUAAAAAUAAAAGUAAAAGCAGGAAAUAACGUACAAGCUAUUCAAAAUGACGUUCACGCGGAUUGACUCGAUUGACAGCUGUUGUUAUCUGAUUUAAUGUAAAAACGAGAGAGAUGGAUAAUUCACGUCGCGAAUAGUAUCGAGCGCAGCCACGAUUGUGUACAAACGUCAAAUAGAAUCGGGACGGGCACACAGUUAGGGAAAAGUUGUCUCGUU